UACUUGAUCCCACAAUAAACAAUUUGAUGUUUGGCGAUUUUGCUUUCUUGUGCUAUUUUUAUCACAGCUUUCCGAACCCCAAUUGGCGGAGAUAGCUUUUUCACCCAAACUGUACAAUGGACAUAAGGUUCGAUGCUGUUGCCGCAGUUGUUUUAAUGUUGUUGUUCACAUAAAAUCGGCAUGCAUGAAAUUGCACUACUCGAGCUGCGUUUCGCAAAAUCUCGGCCAAUUUACGACCCGCCUGUCGUGGCCCGAAUCUUACGCAAUCCGGACUUCGCAGCAACAACAUCGUUAUGCUUUAUCAAAAGAAAACAGCUGGAGUACACACGAAAAUCAAAUCAUCUUUAUAUAGUGAAUAUAUCGGAGCUGCAUAAUCGAUCUCGGCGGUCUCCGUUCGAACCGCCGCUGAUGAUUUUUUGGUGAUUUAUCUGUGGCAAAGCGUCUGCAGCCUCCGCCAACGUUCGAAUCUCACCUAAGUGCAUUUCAAUUUGGGGAGUGGAGCGAAUCGAGAUCGCGACAAUGGCGCAAAAAUCCCAUCGAAUGGGGGACAUCGGCUGCCCAGCAGCGCUGGCUUACAUAAUCGUUUGUCAAUUGUCAAAAUACCGGCAAGACCCUUAUCUAACGCCACAAAGUGCAAUUCAGCGAAUGAUUAACACGAAUAUGGGCCGCGACAACCACAGCAACAACAGAACUUGUACUGAUACCAAGUGACACGGGGUUUUGAUUCCAUUAAAGAUGCUUUAAAUCAAUGCCCUAAGUCGGGUAUUAUAUCAGCGAAUCGGACUGUGUCGCCUGGAUCUGGUUUCUUGACCCGCCCUGAACUCGCCGCACGCAAUUCAAUGAACGAGACAAGUCGACGCAAUCUGCAUGCCACCGCGUUGAUCCGUGACUCACCGAGGAACACAUUACAAUUUGCCAACCGUCGCUUGUGACAUCGUGAGCGACUACUGACGUUUUCGGGCAGCGGCUGCCUGUCUUCGAUUUCGU